rnacentral:rRNA from 1 species
CAGCAGCCGCGGUAAUACAGAGGGUGCAAGCGUUAUCCGGAAUGAUUGGGCGUAAAGCGUCUGUAGGUGGCUUUUCAAGUCCGCCGUCAAAUGCCAGGGCUCAACCCUGGACAGGCGGUGGAAACUACCAAGCUGGAGUACGGUAGGGGCAGAGGGAAUUUCCAGUGGAGCGGUGAGAUGCGUUGAGAUCGAAAAGAACACCAACAGCGAAAGCACUCUGCUGGGACAACACUGACACUAAGAGACGAAAGCUAGGGGAGCAAAUGGGAUUAGAUACCCCCGUAGUCCCUGUCUCUUAUAA